AUGAGACAUGGUAUCAACCCACUAGCCAAUGAUCAGGGAACAGUGUGGAAAAGGAGGUGCAAAGAAUUUAAAAGGUACCUCCUAUGUGCUGGUUCUUUAGUGCACAAGAUAGCUGAUAAAAGUAGGAAAGGGGGCUGGAGAGAUGGCUCAGCAAUUAAGAACACUUGUUGGUCUUGAAGAGGAUGCAGGUUCAGUUCCCAGCACCCACGUAGUAGCUUACAACGAUCCAUUAACUCUGCUUUCAGGGGACCUGAUAUCCUCUUCUGACCUCUGUGGGCAACAGACACACCCAUGGUGCACAGCCAUAUAUGCAGGGAAAAACUCAUACACAUAAAAUAAAGAAAAAUCUUUAAAAAAAAAUCUUUCUAGAAAUGUUCUCAUCUUUAGAUAUGUAAUUAAGUAGACCACAAACACAGACAUAGUUUUUAUUAAACAGCUUUUCAUAGGAUCAUCAUAUUGCCUAGUGUAUCACUGUUAAGUAAUGAAUGAAUGUGCUGUCCCUAUAAUCCUAACGCAAUUACUUGUAGUGCACCUCUCACUUUCAACACUGUCCUGGUUUAUAUACGAAAUUACACAUUGGCCCUAUUCAUAUUGGUGUCAGUAUGCAGCUUCUAACCUCCCUUGUACCUCUUGACUUUUACCCUAGCAUCUACUACUCAUGAAUCACUCAGAUCCUUCUAACAGUUGACAAAUCCAACUGAAGAUAUAUUUAAAUUCAAUGGCACCAAACAGGUAUAUAACAAUAGAACUCUUACAGCCCAAUUCAAUUAUUUUUGACUACUUCUGAUUCCUUUAGAAGACUAUACGACAAGGCCACCUGUCAUACAGUAUAUUUUCAUUAAUUAGCUAAUUACUUUUCUAAGGUAGUGUUUCUGACAUCAAAAGCAACACUAAUAUGCAGUAAGAGUUUGCCAAACUUACCCACAAAUGCUCCAAAUUCUAUGUUAUCUCCUUCUGCAGCUUUAUAGAAAACAGGUUCUGGAUCUUUGGUUGCAGAUUCCAAGUGGCUUUUGCAACUUGGCUGGGAUGGAGUACUCACAGAAAAUUUGGUUGGUGGGGAUGACAUAUGUGGUGAACUAUUAGGCGAACUUCCUAAUUUCUGAUUUUUAUUAAAUAUUUUUAAGAUUUCUACCCCAUGUCGUCUCUGUCGUAAUUCUGGGGGAGAAACAGCACUUGGGAAUAAGGCACCACAGGAGGAACCAGCCUCUGGAAUGUUGAAUUCUUUUCUCUGGGGUAUCACAGACAAAUCUUGACCAAACAAGUUAUACUGGGGGUCUUUUUCAUCUUUCACAGAAAUAUUACAAAGAAAAGGAUUACUACUUUCACGAUCACCUUGAGGAAGAGAGGAGCUCAGUGUAUUUACAACGCUAUGCUUCUUCCACACAGAUCUCACAGGAACGUCAUCAAUAAGAUUCUGGGCCAAGUGUUUGGAAAUACUCAGUUCUCGAGUGAUCUCAUUGUGGACUUUGCUAGCUUCUGAAGCUUUCUGGGCUAAUGGAAUUUGUCGUCCUUUUCAUCAAAAUACAUCUCAACACACUGCUCUUCAAAGUCAUGGAGUUUCUUUUGAUCUUCUUCUGUUAAGAAAAGUUCUAAGGAGGAGAAGGCAAAAAAGAAAUUAGAACACAAAACAAUGAAGGCUACCCACCAGGUUUUCAAACUUCA